rnacentral:rRNA from 1 species
GACGAACGCUGGCGGCGUGCUUAACACAUGCAAGUCGAACGGAAAGGCCCUGCUUUUGUGGGGUGCUCGAGUGGCGAACGGGUGAGUAACACGUGAGUAACCUGCCCUUGACUUUGGGAUAACUUCAGGAAACUGGGGCUAAUACCGGAUAGGAGCUCCUGCUGCAUGGUGGGGGUUGGAAAGUUUCGGCGGUUGGGGAUGGACUCGCGGCUUAUCAGCUUGUUGGUGGGGUAGUGGCUUACCAAGGCUUUGACGGGUAGCCGGCCUGAGAGGGUGACCGGCAACAUUGGGACUGAGAUACGGCCCAGACUCCUACGGGAGGCAGCAGUGGGGAAUAUUGAAAAAUGGGCGGAAGCCUGAUGCAGCAACGCCGCGUGCGGGAUGACGGCCUUCGGGUUGUAAACCGCUUUCGCCUGUGACGAAGCGUGAGUGACGGUAAUGGGUAAAGAAGCACCGGCUAACUACGUG